GGGCAGCGGCCGUGACGCGCUCCCGGGCGCCCCUGUUCCGCGGGGAGGUCAGGGCUUCGGCUGUGCCCGGAAUACCAACAAGGCCGCCCGGGGCCCCCGGCCGUGCCCGCUGCGGAAACAACUUCCUGCUCCCCCGGCCCAGGGCGCAGGAGCUGCGGGGAGAAGUUCUAGGCCGCAGCUUUGCUAUCUUGGAGCCGGACGACGACACUGCUGCACACGGGCCGCGCGGUUCCUUCCCGCGCCCUCUCCCGCGGUCGCGACCAGCCGGGCUCCAGGGCCCGGACACUGGUUAGAGUGACAAGAAGGCCGCAGCUGCUUUUUCUGCCUGCUCCGCAGGAGCGCCUGAGUGGUUUCUGGCGCUUGGGGACGCCGACACGGGGUCGCUGUGCUCGGACCCCAUCCCCCUGCCUGGGCAUGCCCUCUCUCGGAGCCAGAUGGACCUGGUUGUCCCCGGAUGCCCGCGACAGGGGCCCGAGAGAAAGAAGGCCUCCUGGGCCCCAUCCCAGUGUCUCUCUGUGCCUGUCUCCCCGCCCCCCCCCCCCAGCCGGCCUUGGCAUUCUAACCAGUGUCCCUUGACGUCACAUCUCGCCAUUUCUGUCAACCAAUUGAAACUUGCCCGUUGUCAUAAAAAUAUAUAUACUUUUUAUGCCAUUGGUAAAUUCAAAA